AGAUUGAACGCUGGCGGCAGGCCUAACACAUGCAAGUCGAGCGGCAGCACGGGUACUUGUACCUGGUGGCGAGCGGCGGACGGGUGAGUAAUGCCUAGGAAUCUGCCUGAUAGUGGGGGAUAACGCUCGGAAACGGACGCUAAUACCGCAUACGUCCUACGGGAGAAAGCAGGGGACCUUCGGGCCUUGCGCUAUCAGAUGAGCCUAGGUCGGAUUAGCUAGUUGGUGGGGUAAUGGCUCACCAAGGCGACGAUCCGUAACUGGUCUGAGAGGAUGAUCAGUCACACUGGAACUGAGACACGGUCCA
rnacentral:rRNA from 1 species